UACGGAGGGGGCUAGCGUUGUUCGGAAUUACUGGGCGUAAAGCGCACGUAGGCGGCUUUGUAAGUUAGAGGUGAAAGCCCGGAGCUCAACUCCGGAAUUGCCUUUAAGACUGCAGAGCUAGAAUCGUGGAGAGGCGAGUGGAAUUCCGAGUGUAGAGGUGAAAUUCGUAGAUAUUCGGAAGAACACCAGUGGCGAAGGCGACUCACUGGACACGUAUUGACGCUGAGGUGCGAAAGCGUGGGGAGCAAACAGG
rnacentral:rRNA from 1 species